UACGAAGGGGGCUAGCGUUGCUCGGAAUCACUGGGCGUAAAGCGCACGUAGGCGGUUUGUUAAGUCGGGGGUGAAAUCCUGGAGCUCAACUCCAGAACUGCCUUCGAUACUGGCGAUCUUGAGUCCGGGAGAGGUGAGUGGAACUCCGAGUGUAGAGGUGAAAUUCGUAGAUAUUCGGAAGAACACCAGUGGCGAAGGCGGCUCACUGGCCCGGUACUGACGCUGAGACGCGAAAGCGUGGGGAGCGAACAGG
rnacentral:rRNA from 1 species